rnacentral:rRNA from 1 species
GACGAACGCUGGCGGCGUGCUUAACACAUGCAAGUCGAACGAUGAAGCCGGAGCUUGCUCUGGUGAAUUAGUGGCGAACGGGUGAGUAACGCGUGAGUAACCUGCCCUUGACUCUGGGAUAACUGCGGGAAACUGUAGCUAAUACCGGAUACGACCCUCGGAGGCAUCUCCUGGGGGUGGAAAGAAUUUCGGUCAAGGAUGGACUCGCGGCCUAUCAGCUAGUUGGUGAGGUAAAGGCUCACCAAGGCGACGACGGGUAGCCGGCCUGAGAGGGUGACCGGCCACACUGGGACUGAGACACGGCCAAGACUCCUACGGGAGGCAGCAGUGGGGAAUAUUGCACAAUGGGCGCAAGCCUGAUGCAGCAACGCCGCGUGAGGGAUGACGGCCUUCGGGUUGUAAACCUCUUUUAGCAGGGAAGAAGCGAAAGUGACGGUACCUGCAGAAAAAGCACCGGCUAACUACGUGCCAGCAGCCGCCGUAA